AAGGAAGUCUAAUAUUUAUUAGCAGUAUUAUAUGGAAUAUGUAAUUGAUUUUUUUUAAAAUGAAUGUAGAUCCACAAAACAUGAGACUGAAUCUGUGAACAACAACCCAAUGUAAAUGUCUCUGUACCCAUCUCCUUGCCCUCCCCUGACAAAGGGCGAAUGAUGGGGGAAAAUUGUUCAUGGGGACAAUUGGGGGGGUCUUGUGGAGGGGUUUGGCGUUUGGGGAGCAGGCACUUGGUUGGCUUUAGGGACUUCUGUAGACUCAUCAUUCCCCUCCUGGAUGCUCAGCGGAGUCUCCCUGUGAGGGGUUUCAGAUGCUGGUGUAGGGUAUGGUCCUGGGAGUCCUGCAGGCUCCUCCUGGUCACUUGGGGUGGUUGGGUCCUCCACCUUAGCAGCACGCUGGGCAGCAGGUGGAGGGAGAGGUGCCAGUUCAUGGAGAGGUGCAGUGGCCACAACAGCAGGCAGACCCCAGAAUUGUUCAGCUACCAGUUCUAUCAGCCUCUCCAUUAGGGAAUGCUCCUGUUCCCUAUGGUGUGCCUCCUGCUUCACGAGCUACUUCAUCAGUGUCUCUUCCUGCUGAAGAGUCCUAUCCUCCCAUGCCCUUAGGAAUUAAAACUGUUCCUGGUUUCUCCUGUCCAUGCCAAUGAGCAGCUUCUCCACAGCCCUCCUCUGUCUGCUGUCUCUGGGGUAUUUCUCCUGGCGAAUAGUUUCCAUCUUAAGAGCCAAAGGUCCAGCCCAUUGAAAGAGAAGGGUGGCAUUAAUUUUUCCCUGUUGAAGAAGCUGAUAAAUCCCCCCACAUAACAUGACUUUGCUGUAGAAGGCCACAAUUUUGAUACUUUUCAUCAUUCCAGGAAUGCAACUGCUAGACUAUCCUUGGUUCAGACAACUGUUGUGCCCCAUGAGGAAAGAGCAGAAGCUAAUAACGAAAGGCAGUCAGCCUUGAUUUGAUGACAUUGAGAGAUGGUGAAUCCUCCACUUUUCUUGUUCUUGUGAGCGGAAGAGCAAAUGCAUGUGGAUCAGGUUGAACUCCCAUGACUAUCAGUGGAAGUGCUGGACAGAGAACAAAUGCAGAAUAUGCUAUGGAUAUCUGCAGUAGAGCUCAGAUAAGAUGCUUUUAAAAGCCCAUGAUGCUUAUAUGUCUGCAUGUAAACAUAUUCAAGCCCACCUAGAACCCUAGGAAUCUCGAGUACUGCCAAGUUAAACCCCAGACUGCAUGGCUGGUUUAUAAAGAGCUCCAGGAGCUCGGCAACAACAAUACGUGAUGCAAAGGACCCAACCAGCGAACUCUGGGGAUGAUGAGGUUUCUUCCUCCCUCAAGGUAACAUUCUGUAAGAAUGGAGUUUGGUUGGGGUCAUAGUAAGGAGAAAAAAAUAGUGGAUCUAUUUUCAUGCACCACUUUCCAUACCCACUCCUCUUUGGGCACUUCUCCCUUUGCCUUUUCAUGAUGUCUUCUGCUCCUCUCUCCUGGUGAUUGCUGUCCCAUUCCCUUUGAGGCUCAUCGGUGCUUUCUUUUGCUGUCCGUUGGAGGCUGCUUGCCUCUUUUUCCUGUUUUCUGUGGAAGUAGCGUCAUCUCAUUCCUUGUCAUCUCCUUCCCCUUCAGCUGGCAUGAAUGAAAUUUGGGUUAGGUGGCAGAAAGGUUGCAUGCUGGAUCUACAGUUUUGCAGAUUAGGGAACCAAUUGAUUGACUAUGCAAAAGACCCCAAGUAUGUGUCAACCAGACCUGGAAAUUCUCACUGAAAUCAAUGAGAGCUACGUCCAUGUAUCCGAGAGCAGAACUCAGCUUUUAAGAAUUAAAAAUCUUGUUUUCAAACUUCACACAGUUGAGAGAAGAGAAAAGCAGAGCAUAUGUUUAUAAUCAAAAUAAUUUUUAAAGAGUGGGCCAGAUUGUCAGCUUUUUGUCCAGCUGUUUUGCCAUUCUCAAGCAACAAGAAGUAGCCUUUUAACUCCCCUAAUAGGUUUAGGGUCUCCUGGCAUAGGGCAUUCCCCAUGGUACAUAACCAUAGCUUUGCCACUUGCUUUCCCUAGCUUAGGAGGAUGUGGCUGGAGUGUGCAGUAUUCCAGAAAUCUCCUGUCAGCAGAACAGUCCGUAGGGACUAAAAAGUGCAGAAAAUCCUACAAUUAGCAUGAUGCAAGAGUGAGUGAUUAAACUGAGCUGUGUAAAUUAAGAACACACAGCAAGCUGUAGAUCUCUGAAUCUCUCCAGAAGGAUUCUCAACUUGAAAUAGCUGGAAGUGUCUUUGUGGUGGUCAAGUUUUCUGUAUUUAGUGAGCAUUAAGGUUCCGAUAGCUCAGCAGGAAAUUAUCAGUUUUUCAAGUUUCCAGAUUUCUAGAUUCCUCUCUACCAGUCUCAGAUUCAAGACAUCAAAGACUUGACUGCACCAAUGUAUACCUUAAAUUACCCAAUACAAAAAUACAGUUAUGUUAGAUAUGUCUUAUUGAUGCUACCUGAACAAAACAGUGGAGCGAAUCACUGUUAUCUAUCCUAUUAUCAACAGCAGAGCUCAGGAGCAAAUCUGCUUAAAAAUGUGGCUAUUUUGCACAAUCGAGCACCAUUUCAGUAAGAACAGGUGAACUCCUCCAGAUAAAACAAAAACCAGUGACCUGAAACACCAUUCACAACUUGGAAUGAACUCUAAUAGCAGGGUUUUGAAGUUCUUUUUUUCCAUGCUUUUUUAUUUUCAUGGUAGUCUCUUCUUUCUAGGUUCUCAGAGAAACCAUAUUUGCAGUGUUUCUGACCUGGUGGUAGCAGAAUGUAUCUUUACACAUCAUAUUCUUGAAUCCUGCCAUAUUUCAGCUCAGUUUUUCCACUUCUGAGAGUUUAGGUGUGAAAUCUAGGGUUACCUGGACUGAUCCUCUGAAAAAAUUGACAUUUUUAACACCUAGGCAUAUAUGCCCUAGCUUUAUCUCAGCAGAUGAGAAGGAUUAGAACUUCUGGGGUGGGUUAAAUUCUUGUAGCAGAAAAAUGAGUUGAUGCAGACUAAAGCUAUUCUUUACUAGCCUCUUUUUAUAUAUAAUAUGCAUAUAGUUCCUACCAAUGCUGUAGCUGAAAGAGCAGAAAUAGAAGCAAAGCUUACAUAUAUACAGCACAAGAUUUCAAAAACUCAGCAAAGCAGCUCUGGUCAAAAUGUUAGUCAGGCUAUUUGCACACAUAAGCUGUUCCCAAAAGCUAAGCAAAACUUGUGUGCCUUAAUUCCACUCCAAACAGAUUCAAAUCCCUUGGUAACAAAAUGUGUUUGGAGCUGUCCCUCAAAGAAAAGAAAAAAGAA